rnacentral:rRNA from 1 species
GAUGAACGCUGGCGGCGUGCCUAAUACAUGCAAGUCGAGCGAACGGACGAGAAGCUUGCUUCUCUGAUGUUAGCGGCGGACGGGUGAGUAACACGUGGAUAACCUACCUAUAAGACUGGGAUAACUUCGGGAAACCGUAGCUAACACCGGAUAAUAUUUUGAACCGCAUGGUUCAAAAGUGAAAGACGGUCUUGCUGUCACUUAUAGAUGGAUCCGCGCUGCAUUAGCUAGUUGGUAAGGUAACGGCUUACCAAGGCAACAAUGCAUAGCCGACCUGAGAGGGUGAUCGGCCACACUGGAACUGAGACACGGUCCAGACUCCUACGGGAGGCAGCAGUAGGGAAUCUUCCGCAAUGGGCGAAAGCCUGACGGAGCAACGCCGCGUGAGUGAUGAAGGUCUUCGGAUCGUAAAACUCUGUUAUUAGGGAAGAACAUAUGUGUAAGUAACUGUGCACAUCUUGACGGUACCUAAUCAGAAAGCCACGGCUAACUACGUG